rnacentral:tRNA from 1 species
CGGGAUGUAGUUCAGUUGGUAGAAUGCUUGGUUUGGGACCAAGAGGUCGCUCGUUCGAGUCGAGUCAUCCCGA